rnacentral:rRNA from 1 species
GUUGAACGCUGGCGGCAGGCCUAACACAUGCAAGUCGAGCGGAAACGAUCCUAGCUUGCUAGGAGGCGUCGAGCGGCGGACGGGUGAGUAACGCGUGAGAAUCUACCCAUGAGUGGGGGACAACCCGGGGAAACUCGGGCUAAUACCGCAUACGCCCUACGGGGUAAAGCAGGGGACCUUCGGGCCUUGCGCUGAUGGAUGAGCUCGCGUCGGAUUAGCUUGUUGGUGAGGUAAAGGCUCACCAAGGCGACGAUCCGUAGCUGGUCUGAGAGGAUGAUCAGCCACACCGGGACUGAGACACGGCCCGGACUCCUACGGGAGGCAGCAGUGGGGAAUCUUGGACAAUGGGGGCAACCCUGAUCCAGCCAUGCCGCGUGUGUGAAGAAGGCCUUCGGGUUGUAAAGCACUUUCAGCAGGGAGGAAGGCUUACCCCUAAUACGGGUGAGUACUUGACGUUACCUGCAGAAGAAGCACCGGCUAAUUUCGUG